AACGAACGCUGGCGGCAUGCCUAACACAUGCAAGUCGAACGAGACCUUCGGGUCUAGUGGCGCACGGGUGCGUAACGCGUGGGAAUCUGCCCUUGGGUUCGGAAUAACAGUGAGAAAUUACUGCUAAUACCGGAUGAUGUCUUCGGACCAAAGAUUUAUUGCCCAAGGAUGAGCCCGCGUAGGAUUAGCUAGUUGGUGGGGUAAUGGCCUACCAAGGCGACGAUCCUUAGCUGGUCUGAGAGGAUGAUCAGCCACACUGGGACUGAGACACGGCCCAGACUCCUACGGGAGGCAGCAGUUAGGAAUAUUGGACAAUGGGCGCAAGCCUGAUCCAGCCAUGCCGCGUGAGUGAUGAAGGCCUUCGGGUUGUAAAGCUCUUUAGCCGACGAAUAUAAUGACUGUAGUCGGAGAAUAAGCCCCGGCUAACUUCGUGCCAGCCGCCGCGGUAAUAC
rnacentral:rRNA from 1 species